rnacentral:rRNA from 1 species
UACGUAGGGGGCAAGCGUUGUCCGGAAUCAUUGGGCGUAAAGAGCGUGUAGGCGGUCCGGUAAGUCGGCUGUGAAAGUCCAGGGCUCAACCCUGGGACGCCGGUCGAUACUGCCGGACUAGAGUUCGGAAGAGGCGAGUGGAAUUCCCGGUGUAGCGGUGAAAUGCGCAGAUAUCAGGAGGAACACCGGUGGCGAAGGCGCCACUCUGGGCCGAAACUGACGCUGAGGAGCGAAAGCGUGGGUAGCAAACAGG